rnacentral:rRNA from 1 species
AGUGAACGCUGGCGGCAGGCCUAAUACAUGCAAGUCGAACGGCAGCACAGCAGAGCUUGCUCUGUGGGUGGCGAGUGGCGGACGGGUGAGGAAUACAUGGGAAUCUGCCCAGUCGUGGGGGAUAACGUAUGGAAACGUACGCUAAUACCGCAUGCGCCCUACGGGGAAAGUCGGGGACCGCAAGGCCUGACGCGAUUGGAUGAGCCCAUGUUCGAUUAGCUAGUUGGCGGGUAAAGGCCCACCAAGGCGACGAUCGAUAGCUGGUCUGAGAGGAUGAUCAGCCACACUGGAACUGAGACACGGUCCAGACUCCUACGGGAGGCAGCAGUGGGGAAUAUUGCGCAAUGGGCGAAAGCCUGACGCAGCGACGCCGC